AUGUCCUCUUUCCCCUCCUGUGCGCCUCCACCUCGCUUUUCCUUCUCCCCCGCGUCGCCAUCGCCUCCCUCCGCCGCUUCGCCACCAACCGCUGCUGCAGCCUUCCCUCCGCCGGCCUCGGCCUCCCUCGGACCUGACCACCCCGUUGCCGGCCUCGCUCCUCCUCGCCCUGCGUGCCCGCCGCCGCCGCCGGCAGCAGCAGCUGCUGCUGCACACUCUCGCCGACGCCGCGAACCAUCUAAGCUCGCGCCCCCUCGUCGGCCUCCUCGAGCACCGGCCGCGCCGCGCGCCCAACCUUCCUCCAUCGCCGUCUCUCCUGCUCUGCUCCUGCCCCGCCGGUCGCCUCUGCCUCGACCCCGCGCCCGGCCUUCCGCGACCACGCCUCUCCGUCACCGCUCCGUGCACCCCGGCCAUCCUCCUGCGCCAAGUCCCGCCUGCCGGAGUCCCUGCGUCGCCCGCCGUCGUCCUUCGCCGUCGCGUCGGGCUCCUGGACCUCCGCUGCGAGCCCCAUCGCCGCCUGUUCUGGCCGUCCCUGCUUCGGACCCCGACGAGCUGGCUGCCCAGUUGGUCUUGCUGCCUUUGUCGUGGCCAGGUCAAGUCAGACACCCGGAGACCAUCGUUGAUUUUCGCCAAGUACCGGGACGUCAGGACCCGUCAAGUUCAUCUUCGAACCGUCUACGACUACGCGGACUCGCCAAGUACCACUCCGAACCAUGUACGACGACCGUCACCGAAGAACCGUGUAACGUGAACGCGAACGUCUACUUCCACGACCGUCGCGAGAACGUCUACUUCCGCUACGGCCGAGUACAACUACUUCCGACGACGUCCCGUGAACAACUACUUCCUCUACGAAACUCGAACCGCUCCGAAAACGCACGCUUCGAAGGUAUAACCCCGAGAUGA
rnacentral:rRNA from 1 species